AUUUGGGCCACGCGCGGGGGCUAGCGGUCCCCGGCACCGAAACCCGCUUUAGCGGCGCGACGCCGCCGGAGCGUGAACGGACAUUUUGGCCAAAGCCAAUGUUUGGACGACGACCCUUUGUUCCCAAAGGUCGACCAACGCUGCUACCCCGCCAGGUUCGGAAGAAAGCAACGGAACCAACGCGAAUCGAUGCUCUGGGAAGCCAGAGGCGAGAAAGAACAAUGGAUUAACUUUGGACAAAAACCAUUCGCCAUCCGGCGGCGGCCCACCC
rnacentral:SRP_RNA from 1 species